CAGCAAUUUUCACUCUAUACGUGCCCUCGAUGCAAUUCUCGUUACUGUUCACUUCAGUGCUUCAAGUCUCAUAGUCUUCGAUGUACGGAAUCAUUCAUGCGAGAAAAUGUAGUGGAGGAGCUUCAACAUAUGCAGUCUAAUGAUGAAACCAAGCAAAAAAUGCUAGAGAUAUUGAAACGACUUCAUUUGGAGGAAAAGAUGGAUCACACGGAUGAGGAGGAUGAUUGCAUUCUGUCUGAAGAGACUGCUCAAAAGAUUUUGUCUGGCACAAUACUGUUGACUGAAACCG
rnacentral:misc_RNA from 1 species